UGGGGAAUAUUGGACAAUGGGGGCAACCCUGAUCCAGCCAUGCCGCGUGUGUGAAGAAGGCCUUCGGGUUGUAAAGCACUUUAAGUGGGGAGGAAGGCCUGGUGGCGAAUACCCAUCAGGAUUGACGUUACCCACAGAAUAAGCACCGGCUAACUCCGUGCCAGCAGCCGCGGUAAUACGGAGGGUGCAAGCGUUAAUCGGAAUUACUGGGCGUAAAGCGCACGUAGGUGGCUGAAUAAGUCGGAUGUGAAAGCCCUGGGCUCAACCUGGGAAUUGCAUUCGAUACUGUUCGGCUAGAGUACGGUAGAGGGAGGUAGAAUUCCUAGUGUAGCGGUGAAAUGCGUAGAUAUUAGGAGGAAUACCGGUGGCGAAGGCGGCCUCCUGGACUGAUACUGACACUGAGGUGCGAAAGCGUGGGGAGCAAACAGG
rnacentral:rRNA from 1 species